rnacentral:rRNA from 1 species
ACUGCUCAGUAACACGUGGAUAANNGCCCUUUGGACCGGCAUAACCCCGGGAAACUGGGGAUAAUUCCGGAUAACGCAUAUGUGCUGGAAUGCUUUAUGCGUCAAAUGGAUUCGUCCGCCCAAGGAUGGGUCUGCGGCCUAUCAGGUAGUAGUGGGUGUAAUGUACCUACUAGCCGACAACGGGUACGGGUUGUGAGAGCAAGAGCCCGGAGAUGGAUUCUGAGACAUGAAUCCAGGCCCUACGGGGCGCAGCAGGCGCGAAAACUUUACAAUGCGGGAAACCGUGAUAAGGGGACACCGAGUGUCAGCAUCAUAUGCUGGCUGUCCAGGUGUGUAAAAUACACCUGUUAGCAAGGGCCGGGCAAGACCGGUGCCAGCCGCCGCGGUAACACCGGCGGCCCGAGUGGUGAUCGUGAUUAUUGGGUCUAAAGGGUCCGUAGCCGGUUUGGUCAGUCCUCCGGGAAAUCUGAUAGCUCAACUAUUAGGCUAUCGGGGGAUACUACCAGACUUGGAACCGGGAGAGGUAAGAGGUACUACAGGGGUAGGAGUGAAAUCUUGUAAUCCCUGUGGGACCACCUGUGGCGAAGGCGUCUUACCAGAACGGGUUCGACGGUGAGGGACGAAAGCUGGGGGCACGAACCGGAUUAGAUACCCGGGUAGUCCCAGCCGUAAACGAUGCUCGCUAGGUGUCAGGCAUGGCGCGACCGUGUCUGGUGCCGCAGGGAAGCCGUGAAGCGAGCCACCUGGGAAGUACGGCCGCAAGGCUGAAACUUAAAGGAAUUGGCGGGGGAGCAC